AGUGAACGCUGGCGGCGUGCUUAACACAUGCAAGUCGAACGAGAACGGAUUAUAGCUUGCUAUAAUUGUCAGCUAAGUGGCGCACGGGUGAGUAAUGUAUAGGUAAUAUGCCUCUUACUAAGGGAUAACAAAUGGAAACGUUUGCUUAUACCUUAUACUCCUUAUUAACAUAAGUUAAUCAGGGAAAGAUUUAUUGGUAAGAGAUUAGACUGUAUUGUAUCAGUUAGUUGGUGGGGUAAUGGCGUACCAAGACUAUGACACAUAACUGGUUUGAGAGAAUGAGCAGGCACACUGGAACUGGGACACGGUCCAGACUCCAACGGGAGGCAGGAGUGGGGAAUAUUGCACAAUGGACGAAAGUCUGAUGCAGCAAGGCCGCGUGGAGGAUGACACAUUUCGGUGCGUAGACUCCUUUUAUAUGAGAAGAUAAUGACGGUAUUAUAUGAAUAAGCACCGGCUAACUCCGUGCCAGCAGCCGCAGUAAUAC
rnacentral:rRNA from 1 species